rnacentral:rRNA from 1 species
CCAUAGAGUUUGAUCCUGGCUCAGGAUGAACGCUGGCGGCGUGCCUAAUACAUGCAAGUCGAGCGAACAGACAAGGAGCUUGCUCCUUUGACGUUAGCGGCGGACGGGUGAGUAACACGUGGGUAACCUACCUAUAAGACUGGGAUAACUUCGGGAAACCGGAGCUAAUACCGGAUAAUAUUUCGAACCGCAUGGUUCGAUAGUGAAAGAUGGUUUUGCUAUCACUUAUAGAUGGACCCGCGCCGUAUUAGCUAGUUGGUAAGGUAACGGCUUACCAAGGCGACGAUACGUAGCCGACCUGAGAGGGUGAUCGGCCACACUGGAACUGAGACACGGUCCAGACUCCUACGGGAGGCAGCAGUAGGGAAUCUUCCGCAAUGGGCGAAAGCCUGACGGAGCAACGCCGCGUGAGUGAUGAAGGUCUUCGGAUCGUAAAACUCUGUUAUUAGGGAAGAAC